rnacentral:misc_RNA from 1 species
AUUUACCUUAUUACACCACAAAAUAAGGUACCUACAAGCAAUUGCAAACAACAGCAGAUUAAGCAACUGAUGUUUAGAUUUCCCAACGUGAAAAGAAAAUAAUAUGAAGGCAAACCUAUGAUAAUAGUGAUGUUUACAAAGAAACAAUGGUAUAACAUUAAACACCGAUUGAUACAAAGGUAGAAAAUGACAAUACAACAGUAUCUCAGUCAGUUCUGAAAGCAGUG